CUGGCUCUUACUGAAGACCAGCAGUUAUACGGUGGCUGUUGGUUUCAAGCAGAUGCCUAAAGAACUGUCUUCCUGUGCUUUAUUAGCUGUUCUGGACUUGAAUAGAGAACUGCUUCAUUUGGAAGAAACAACC